rnacentral:tRNA from 1 species
GGCGUGGUACCCAAGCAGCAAGGGAGCGGUCUGCAAAACCGUUAUGCGUGGGUGCAACUCCCACCCACGCCUCCA